rnacentral:rRNA from 1 species
CCUACGGGUGGCAGCGGUGGGGAAUAUUGCACAAUGGACGAAAGUCUGAUGCAGCAACGCCGCGUGGAGGAUGACACAUUUCGGUGCGUAAACUCCUUUUAUAUGGGAAGAUAAUGACGGUACCAUAUGAAUAAGCACCGGCUAACUCCGUGCCAGCAGCCGCGGUAAUACGGAGGGUGCAAGCGUUACUCGGAAUCACUGGGGGUAAAGCGCGUGUAGGCGGGUAGUUAAGGCAGAAGUGAAAUCCAAUAGCUCAACUAUUGAACUGCUUUUGAAACUGAUUACCUAGAAUAUGGGAGAGGUAGAUGGAAUUUCUGGUGUAGGGGUAAAAUCCGUAGAGAUCAGAAGGAAUACCGAUUGCGAAGGCGAUCUACUGGAACAUUAUUGACGCUGAGACGCGAAAGCGUGGGGAGCAAACA